ACUAUUUUGGCAGAUAAGUGCCUUAGAUUUAGAAUCUAAUUAUGUAAUAGUGUUACAAAUAGUA
rnacentral:tRNA from 1 species